rnacentral:SRP_RNA from 2 species
CCUAGGACCCGUACUAUCAAGUAUUGCUGAAUCCCGUCAGGACUGGAAGGUAGCAGCGGUAAGCGAUUUUUUUGAUGAGUACGUAAGUCUUAGGUUUAAUUUU